rnacentral:rRNA from 1 species
UACGGAGGGUGCGAGCGUUGUCCGGAAUCACUGGGCGUAAAGGGCGCGUAGGCGGCCUGAUAAGUAGGGGGGUGAAAUCCUGCGGCUUAACCGCAGGGCUGCCUUCUAAACUGUCGGGCUAGAGCACGGUAGAGGCAGAUGGAAUUCCCGGUGUAGCGGUGGAAUGCGUAGAGAUCGGGAGGAACACCAGUGGCGAAGGCGGCUUUCUGGCCUGCUCUUGACGCUGAGGCGCGAAAGCUAGGGUAGCAAACGGG